rnacentral:rRNA from 1 species
GACAGAGGUGCCGAGCGUUAGGCGGAAUCACUGGGCUUAAAGCGUGUGUAGGCGGAUCGUUAAGUGCCUUGUGAAAUCCCACGGCUCAACCGUGGAACUGCUUGGCAUACUGGCGGUCUUGAGCCACUUAGGGGCUACCGGAACAAAUGGUGGAGCGGUGAAAUGCGUAGAUAUCAUUUGGAACGCCAAUGGUGAAAACAGGUAGCUGGGAGUGUGCUGACGCUGAGACACGAAAGCCAGGGGAGCGAACGGG